rnacentral:rRNA from 1 species
GAUGAACGCUGGCGGCGUGCCUAAUACAUGCAAGUCGAGCGAACGGACGAGAAGCUUGCUUCUCUGAUGUUAGCGGCGGACGGGUGAGUAACACGUGGAUAACCUACCUAUAAGACUGGGAUAACUUCGGGAAACCGGAGCUAAUACCGGAUAAUAUUUUGAACCGCAUGGUUCAAAAGUGAAAGACGGUCUUGCUGUCACUUAUAGAUGGAUCCGCGCUGCAUUAGCUAGUUGGUAAGGUAACGGCUUACCAAGGCAACGAUGCAUAGCCGACCUGAGAGGGGGGACCGGCCCACCGGAACCGGGAACCCGGUCAAGACCCCUAGGGGGGGAGGGGGUGGGGAAUUUUCCGAAAGGGGCGAAAGCCUGACGGGGAAACGCCGGGGGGGGAAUGAAGGUUUUCGGUCCGUAAAACUCUUUUUUUGGGGAAAAAAAAAUGGGAAAGUACCUGUCCCCCUCUUGACGGUCCCAAUCAAAAAGGCCCCGGCUAACUACGU